GCUGGGAGAUGAUGUUAACAAAAGGCCGAAUUAUAGCGCCCCCGCCAAGCAGUUUGUUCUCAGUGCAGGGGUGUGGUGACAAAAACCAGACCGAGGCGUUUAGCUGAUCCCAGC